rnacentral:rRNA from 1 species
UACGGAGGGUGCGAGCGUUGUCCGGAAUCAUUGGGCGUAAAGGGCGCGUAGGCGGCUUCUCAAGCGUGCGGUGAAAGUCAGGGGCUCAACCCCUGAUCGGCCGUGCGAACUGGGGGGCUGGAGCACUGUAGAGGCAGGCGGAAUUCCGGGUGUAGCGGUGGAAUGCGUAGAGAUCCGGAAGAACACCGGUGGCGAAGGCGGCCUGCUGGGACAAUGCUGACGCUGAGGCGCGACAGCGUGGGGAGCAAACAGG